rnacentral:lncRNA from 1 species
UGUGUUGUGCAGCUGCUAAGGGGGGAUGGAGGAGGAGUGGCACUGGCAAUUCAAGACUGCCUUUCCUACCCUUUUCAGUGCCUCUUUCAGUGAUAUCAAGUUAAAACCAGAUACUGCUUUCAUAGUACUCUUCUGACCAUGGUUUUCUGGAGUUUUUUCAUAUGGAGUUUGUAAGCUUCCUGACAUGGAUUAUAACUGUACUUGACGGAGCACAGUUAUAAUAGCUGCUUUAGAGUCCUUGAUAAUUCCCACAUCUGAAUCAUCUCAAGAUUUUGAUGGAUGUACAUUGAUGGAUAGCCACAUGGAUCCAGAAAAUAAAGACUUCUACUGUGCAUAUUGACUAAAGCAAAAGAUAUGCAAGGAAGCUCAGUCUCUCAGUUGAGUGGAUUCUGAAAUUUAUCCUGUUGUCUUCAGCUACUAAGGCUAAUUUGCAAAUCACACUGUGCACGGGGUGAAAUAGGAGCACUUGGGAAGCACUGCAAUGAAUUUACUGCUUAUUCAGCAUAUUGAUAGAGUCUUCUCUAAAACAACAAAAAGUGUUGACAGCAAAUUGAAGAUCUUAAAG